AAUAGAUACCCUGGUAGUCCUAGCCGUAAACGAUGAGCACUGGAUUGAAGGCCCCCUCAUAGGUUUUCAGUCGCAGAGAAAUUGUUUAGUGCUCCGCCUGGGGAGUAUGGUCGCAAGGCUGAAACUCAAAGGAAUUGACGGGGGCUCACACAAGCGGUGGAGGAUGUGGCUUAAUUCGAGGCUACGCGAAGAACCUUAUCCUGGUCUUGACAUACCUCUCUAAGUCGGUGAAAGCCGGCGAGUGGAGCAAUCCACAAUUAGUACAGGUGCUGCAUAGCUGUCGUCAGCUCGUGUCGUGAGAUGUCGGGUUAAGUCCCUUAACGAGCGAAACCCUUGUCCUUAGUUGCCAGCGCGCUCCUUCGGGGUGGUGGGGACUCAUAAGAGACUGCCGGGGUCAACUCGGAGGAAGGUGGGGAUGACGUCAAGUCAUCAUGCCCCUUAUGUCCAGGGCUUCACGCAUGCUACAAUGGCCGGUACAGACCGCUGCGAUCCCGUGAGGGGGAGCGAAUCGGAAAAAGCCGGUCUCU
rnacentral:rRNA from 1 species